rnacentral:rRNA from 1 species
CUCCGACUCCUCGCAUGGGGUGUCGGGAAAGAUUAUAUCGGUAUGGGAUGGGGUCGCGUCCUAUCAGGUAGUCGGCGGGGUAACGGCCCACCGAGCCUACGACGGGUAGCCGGCCUGAGAGGGCGACCGGCCACAUUGGGACUGAGAUACGGCCCAGACUCCUACGGGAGGCAGCAGUGGGGAAUAUUGCACAAUGGGCGCAAGCCUGAUGCAGCGACGCCGCGUGCGGGAUGACGGCCUUCGGGUUGUAAACCGCUUUUGAUCGGGAGCAAGCCUUCGGGUGAGUGUACCUUUCGAAUAAGCACCGGCUAACUACGUGCCAGCAGCCGCGGUAAUACGUAGGGUGCAAGCGUUAUCCGGAAUUAUUGGGCGUAAAGGGCUCGUAGGCGGUUCGUCGCGUCCGGUGUGAAAGUCCAUCGCUUAACGGUGGAUCUGCGCCGGGUACGGGCGG